AUCUUUCUCUUACUUCUCUAUUUAUUAAGACCAGCCUCGAUCUCUGUCCCUAUCUCUUUUCUCUCUUGUUUUCGCCAAAAACAGCACCUCUCUCUCUCUCUCUCUCCCUCUCACAUGUGAGUCCUCUCAUUUCAUUUCUUUACUUGUUAUGUUGGGUUGACAUAACAUAAUGCGGUUAAUGGUUUGAGAUUUUUUUUUAAUUAGAUGCCAAGAAAUAAGAGAAAUCCCAGGCGAAGAAAGAAAAUGAAUCUGAAAGACUUUAUAGUUGCUGAUCUACGCACAAAGUUGAUCACAUGUUGGAAUUGGGGGAUUAGGAAAAAGACAUGGCUAAAGCUUCGACAUCUAAGCGAAAGCGAAUUACAGAGGCCAAGUCUGCUUUCUCCCGAAGGUCCAAGACACUAAAAGAGUCUAAUAUGCUUUUCAAACCAUCUCAGCUAUUGAUGGAGCGGGAGGUCACUACAAAAAAGAUUGCUAUUUGCGAUGAAACUUUUUUGACAACUACAAAAUGCCGUCGUAAAAACUAGCUUUUUUGACGGCAAAUCUCUUCCGUCGACAAUUACUCGUCAAAUAUUAACAUAUUUGUGACGGCAAAAUAAGUCUGUCAAAAAUGCCUAUUAUUUUUGUCGAAAAUGUGAUUUUUUUUGGAGGGAAGUGUUCCCGCCUUACUUUUUACAACGGCAUAAAAAUGUUUGUCGCUAGUAAAGUAUUAUUUACGACGACUGAAAAAAAACCGUCGGAACUAUUAACACUUGUGACGGCUUUGGUACGUCGAAAAUACAAAACAUAUAUUUUUUAUGGUGUUA